GUGAAAAACCGGCGGCCGGCUCGAUACCGUUCUGGGGAUAGUGAAAAGCCGCUGUUGACGACAUAACAGUCGUUUGCUACCAUUUUUUGUGAUUUUCUCAACUCGAUUACUCAACAACUUGCCUAGAACACUCCACAACCAUAACCAGAAAAAACUAUUAGUGAUUUCGAGAUGAGUAUUGUGAUAUUUAUUCUUCAAAAGAAAGGAAAGGAAAAGUAAACAACACAGAACAAGAACAAGAUGAAAGUCUCUCUAAAAAUCAAUGUGAGUUAAGAAAAUAAAGGAAGUGGAGGAAUAUUUAAACCAUUAUGAACGUCGACAUUUUGAUGAAACCACAUAAUUAAAUUGUAUAACCUAUACUCUAUUCAGAAUUAAAAUACAUUAGCAUAUCACUACUGAUCUAAGCCAAGCAUUCUGACGCUCAAAUCUUGUAUUUUUUUUUUGAAUAGAGCAUAAUAUUAUUUUGUAUGUAAAUUUGUUCUUAUUUUUAUAAUAUAUUUUAAUAUGCUUGUUUUAUUUUAAAUUAUUUAGGUUUACUUCAGUAUUUCUUAAUUGAUUUUAAGUUUAUACUAGUAAUUAAUAAUUUUUAUAAUUUAUGAUAUAAGUUGUUUAAAUGGUUUAUCUAUCAUGGUAUGAUUUAUAUACUUUUAGAAGGUUCAAAGGAUGGUAGAAUGUGAUAGUUACUAAGUUAUUCUCAAGAAAUAGCAUAAUUUCUUAUGUUUACUUUAGCACUUAAUGUAUAUCAGAUAAUCUAUAUUUAUAAACUAAGUUAAGUCUGAAAUUUAUGUAUGCAAUGUAUUCAUAUUUAAUGAAUAUUUAAAUACAUAAUAUUUCCAUUAUAUAUAAUAUGAUUGUGCUAUUUUGUAUCUAGUACUAGAAUAUUUGUGGAAUAAUUUUAAUACAGGGUGAUAUAAUAAAAAAUCUUUUUUUAUAAUAAUUAUUAUUGUUUCAAUAAAACAUAAUAGUUAUUUACUUAACAAAAUAUUACGAUUUUUUAUAAGUAUAGGUAGUCUUAUAUAAAUACACACAGUAGUCUUGGUAUACUUCGUAAUUGAAACUGCGGCAUGAUUGUCAGUAUUAAAAACAAAAAAUUAAAUUAAUUUGUUAAUGACAAAAAAAUAACUAAUUAAGGUUAUAAAUAAAUAUUUAAAUAUAUAAUAAUAUAAUAUAUAUAAUGUAUAUUUAAAUUGGAAUUUAUUAUACUAAUAUAUUUUUUUGCAGUAAUAAGUUAGUUUUAGAUAAUUUGUGUAACAUACAAUGGCUUGGUGAAUUGAAAAUACUAUAUUGGCAAGUAACAUAUAUCCCAAGCGUCCACCACCCUUCUACUAUACUCAAAUAGGGUUUUUUUUACCUAACCCUCCAAAACUUAAAAAUCUCAGAAGUAAUUGCCUCUGAAAUUACCCUUCACCAUGCUACUGGUAAUAUAGCUAAAUGAGAAAGUACAUUAAAAGAUAGAAUAUUUAUUUUGAUAUCCACACCAUACAACAAGUAAAAUGCAACUACUCGAAAAUCCAUUCAUAAUAUAUUGAUAUAAUUCUUCACAUAUCCGGAAAGUUAGAAAAAAAAUGUUUAAUAAUUAAAUGAAAUAUAUUUUACCUAACCCAAUUAAAUUAUAAAAUACUUAACAUAAAUACAUAAUCGACAUUAUUAUGUAGAUAUGUAAAAUCAUCAAAACUCAAUUUUCAUGUGGGUAAAAAACUGUAGAAAAAUUAGUUUUACAGUAUUUUGUAGUAAGCUUACAGUAAGAAAUUAUUUAAAAUAAUGACGUACUUUACACUUCAUGCCUUUUAAAACGCCCACAGUAGUAGUACAUUUCCUCAUCUAAUUUAUAAUUUCUUUUUUUCUCAGCUCGUGGAUAAAAAAGUUUAAUAAACUAAAUAAUUUUAUUUUUAUACAAUCUCUAAAUUUAUCGAGAAAAUAAGAACAUAAUAUAAAAUAUAGUUACUCCACUCAUAUAACGUCGUGGCUAGUCAGUCCCUUAGGAUCUUUCAUACGCUCCAUUUUCUCUCUUUGUAAUUAAUUAAACGAUACGAGGCAUAGUUAAAUGAAAAUGGAAAGAUACGAUUAGAUUAGUAUCAUGAACUAUGGUAGAACCACAGACUUAAUAAUAAUAGAAGAAUUCCCUUUCGUACACGUAGAACUGUCAUAGAUAGAGAGCGCCUUCGCGUGACUUCUGACUGCACGAUAAUUAAUACUGCAGUGUGUUUGACUGAUUACCACAACGACUGCUCUAUAGACAAAGUCUAAAGGUUAGGCGGUGGCGUAACUGCAAUUUUUUUACCGUGCGAGAUCCCACUUGGUUAUAUUGCUCGUUUCUAUUCCACUUUUAAUCAGUGGCAAGUUUAAAAUAAUAUACAUGAUUAGAAUUUGAAAUACCCUACGAAUAGUAAUAAGUUCCUACCAAAAUAAAUCCCUCUCAGUCACAGUAUGCAUCCACAGACUUCUAUACUAACUAGGUAAUUAACUCGUAUAUUAUUUAUAUAAUUUACAUUGAAGCUCGCGUAUCGGUUUCCCCCAUUUUGUCGGUUAGCAAAACAUUACAUUUACUAUGCAAAAUAUAGUAGGAAUAACAUCGUUUUUAAUGGUAAGAUAUUGAAGUAAAUGAAAAAUAAUUAAUAUAAAGUAUUUAUAACUGUUUUUUAAAAAAAGGUUUAGACCUCAUAAAAUACAGUACAACAUAGUUAAUAUUUACUAUAUAAAAUACCAUAUAACGCCAACCGAAAAACCUUAAUUGAUAGCGGAAAUCUGUUAUCUAGUUCUGUAUAGAAAUCUGUGCAUACAAUAAAAUCUCGACCGUCAAAGCUACGUUAAUUUUACGUAAGUUUCAGCCGCUAGAAAUGUUAUUAAAUAUUGAAGUGUUUUCGGCGAAGUUGUUAUGGUUGUCAAGUGUGUGAGCGUGCCGUGAACCAAAAAAGAUUGAGAACCACUGGGUUAAGCAAUAUGAAAACAGUUCGGCCCCCACAUAGUGAUUUACAAAGAAAAAAG